AAAAAAAUCAAUUUUAAGCUCACAUGCCCCAGUGGGUGCCAAAGCCACUUCAGAGAGGCUGAAAGAUGGCUGAGUCGACAGGAUUUGACUUCCAGAGGUAGAAAGCUGACCUUUCAUUUCAACAUACCUGCAGGAAUCUCUAGAAAGUCUGGGCCAGCUGUGUGCAAAACUACCUACUGGCAAAAGCAAUUUUGGAAAAGAGACAUAACGGGGAAGUGCUACUGGGAAAAAUGGAAGGCUUCAAGACUUUUUCCGAGAUACUUCUAG
rnacentral:lncRNA from 1 species